ACUACAAACCGUGCUAUCGUUUCACUGCCUUGCGCAGUGGGAAGGAAAGUCCGGACAGCGCAGAGCAACGCACCACCUAACGGGUGGGGCCCGGUGCAAGCCGGGAACAGCAAGUGCCACAGAAAAUAACCGCCCCGCUUCGGCGGGGUAAGGGUGAAAAUGUGGGGUAAGCGCCCACGGUGCAGGCAGGUAACUGUUUGUGCGGGUAAACCUUGCGUGCUGAAAUGCCAUGUAUACGGUCGAUUGAGGGCUGCUCGCCCGAUGACCGAGGGUAGGCAGAUACAGGCAACGUGCGAACGUUGCCGCAGAUAAAUGAUAGCAGCCCCGUCAACGGCGGGGAACAGAAUCCGGCUUACAGGUUUGUAGUUUUU
rnacentral:RNase_P_RNA from 1 species